rnacentral:rRNA from 1 species
AACGAACGCUGGCGGCGUGCUUAACACAUGCAAGUCGAACGAGAAAGCGGGCUUCGGUCCGCUAGUAAAGUGGCAGACGGGUGAGUAACACGUGGGUAACCUGCCCGGAGGUGGGGGACAACCCUCCGAAAGGAGGGCUAAUACCGCAUGAUAUCCCUGAGGCUUCGGCCUUGAGGAUCAAAGCUAGCCUCUACAUGUAAGCUAGCUCCACCGGAGGGGCCCGCGGCCCAUUAGCUAGUUGGGAGGUAACGGCUCACCAAGGCGACGAUGGGUAGCCGGCCUGAGAGGGUGUUCGGCCACACUGGAACUGAGACACGGUCCAGACUCCUACGGGAGGCAGCAGUGAGGAAUCUUGCGCAAUGGGCGAAAGCCUGACGCAGCGACGCCGCGUGGAGGACGAAGGUCUUCGGAUCGUAAACUCCUGUCAAGUGGGACGAAGGCUGUUGGGAUGAAUAAGCCCAGCAGUUGACGGUACCGCUGAAGGAG